UACGUAGGGGGCAAGCGUUGUCCGGAUUUAUUGGGCGUAAAGAGCGUGUAGGCGGCCAUACAGGUCCGUUGUGAAAACUCGAGGCUCAACCUCGAGAUGUCGGCGGAAACCGUCUGGCUAGAGUCCGGAAGAGGAGAGUGGAAUUCCUGGUGUAGCGGUGAAAUGCGCAGAUAUCAGGAAGAACACCUAUGGCGAAGGCAGCUCUCUGGGACGGUACUGACGG
rnacentral:rRNA from 1 species